AGACCAAAGUGGGGGACCUUCGGGCCUCAUGCCAUCAGAUGUGCCCAGAUGGGAUUAGCUAGUAGGUGGGGUAACGGCUCACCUAGGCGACGAUCCCUAGCUGGUCUGAGAGGAUGACCAGCCACACUGGAACUGAGACACGGUCCAGACUCCUACGGGAGGCAGCAGUGGGGAAUAUUGCACAAUGGGCGCAAGCCUGAUGCAGCCAUGCCGCGUGUGUGAAGAAGGCCUUCGGGUUGUAAAGCACUUUCAGCGGGGAGGAAGGCGGUGAGGUUAAUAACCUCAUCGAUUGACGUUACCCGCAGAAGAAGCACCGGCUAACUCCGUGCCAGCAGCCGCGGUAAUACGGAGGGUGCAAGCGUUAAUCGGAAUUACUGGGCGUAAAGCGCACGCAGGCGGUCUGUCAAGUCGGAUGUGAAAUCCCCGGGCUCAACCUGGGAACUGCAUUCGAAACUGGCAGGCUAGAGUCUUGUAGAGGGGGGUAGAAUUCCAGGUGUAGCGGUGAAAUGCGUAGAGAUCUGGAGGAAUACCGGUGGCGAAGGCGGCCCCCUGGACAAAGACUGACGCUCAGGUGCGAAAGCGUGGGGAGCAAACAGGAUUAGAUACCCUGGUAGUCCACGCCGUAAACGAUGUCGAUUUGGAGGUUGUGCCCUUGAGGCGUGGCUUCCGGAGCUAACGCGUUAAAUCGACCGCCUGGGGAGUACGGCCGCAAGGUUAAAACUCAAAUGAAUUGACGGGGGCCCGCACAAGCGGUGGAGCAUGUGGUUUAAUUCGAUGCAACGCGAAGAACCUUACCUGGUCUUGACAUCCACAGAACUUAGCAGAGAUGCUUUGGUGCCUUCGGGAACUGUGAGACAGGUGCUGCAUGGCUGUCGUCAGCUCGUGUUGUGAAAUGUUGGGUUAAGUCCCGCAACGAGCGCAACCCUUAUCCUUUGUUGCCAGCGGUUAGGCCGGGAACUCAAAGGAGACUGCCAGUGAUAAACUGGAGGAAGGUGGGGAUGACGUCAAGUCAUCAUGGCCCUUACGACCAGGGCUACACACGUGCUACAAUGGCAUAUACAAAGAGAAGCGACCUCGCGAGAGCAAGCGGACCUCAUAAAGUAUGUCGUAGUCCGGAUUGGAGUCUGCAACUCGACUCCAUGAAGUCGGAAUCGCUAGUAAUCGUAGAUCAGAAUGCUACGGUGAAUACGUUCCCGGGCCUUGUACACACCGCCCGUCACACCAUGGGAGUGGGUUGCAAAAGAAGUAGGUAGCUUAACCUUCGGGAGGGCGCUUACCACUUUGUGAUUCAUGACUGGGGUGAAGUCGUAACAAGGUAACCGUAGGGGAACCUGCGGUUGGAUCACCUCCUUACCUUAAAGAA
rnacentral:rRNA from 1 species